rnacentral:rRNA from 1 species
CCUUUUCGUGGGGGAUAACGUAGGGAAACUUACGCUAAUACCGCAUACGACCUUCGGGUGAAAGCAGGGGACCUUCGGGCCUUGCGCGGAUAGAUGAGCCGAUGUCGGAUUAGCUAGUUGGCGGGGUAAAGGCCCACCAAGGCGACGAUCCGUAGCUGGUCUGAGAGGAUGAUCAGCCACACUGGAACUGAGACACGGUCCAGACUCCUACGGGAGGCAGCAGUGGAGAAUAUUGGACAAUGGGCGCAAGCCUGAUCCAGCCAUACCGCGUGGGUGAAGAAGGCCUUCGGGUUGUAAAGCCCUUUUGUUGGGAAAGAAAAGCAGUCGGCUAAUACCCGGUUGUUCUGACGGUACCCAAAGAAUAAGCACCGGCUAACUUCGUGCCAGCAGCCGCGGUAAUACGAAGGGUGCAAGCGUUACUCGGAAUUACUGGGCGUAAAGCGUGCGUAGGUGGUUGUUUAAGUCUGUUGUGAAAGCCCUGGGCUCAACCUGGGAAUUGCAGUGGAUACUGGGCGACUAGAGUGUGGUAGAGGGUAGUGGAAUUCCCGGUGUAGCAGUGAAAUGCGUAGAGAUCGGGAGGAACAUCCAUGGCGAAGGCAGCUACCUGGACCAACAC